AACCUCCGCAAUGUGAGAAAUCGCGACGGGGGGAUCCCAAGUGCCAUUCUUAACGGGAUGGCUUUUCUUAAGUGUAAAAAGCUUUUGGAAUAAGAGCUGGGCAAGACCGGUGCCAGCCGCCGCGGUAACACCGGCAGCUCUAGUGGUAGCUGUUUUUAUUGGGCCUAAAGCGUUCGUAGCCGGUUUGAUAAGUCACUGGUGAAAUCCUGUAGCUUAACUGUGGGAAUUGCUGGUGAUACUGUUGAACUUGAGGUCGGGAGAGGUUAGCGGUACUCCCAGGGUAGAGGUGAAAUUCUGUAAUCCUGGGAGGACCACCUGUGGCGAAGGCGGCUAACUGGAACGAACCUGACGGUGAGGGACGAAAGCUAGGGGCGCGAACCGGAUUAGAUACCCGGGUAGUCCUAGCCGUAAACGAUGCGGACUUGGUGUUGGAUGGCUUUGAGCCGCUCCGGUGCCGAAGGGAAGCUGUUAAGUCCGCCGCCUGGGAAGUACGGUCGCAAGACUGAAACUUAAAGGAAUU
rnacentral:rRNA from 1 species